UACGUAGGCAGCAAGCGUUGUUCGGAAUUACUGGGCGUAAAGAGUGUGUAGGCGGUGCUCUAAGUCUGUUGUGAAAUCUCCCGGCUUAACCGGGAGGGUGCGGCGGAAACUGGAGUGCUUGAGGGUGGGAGAGGUAAGCGGAAUUCCUGGUGUAGCGGUGAAAUGCGUAGAUAUCAGGAAGAACACCUGUGGUGUAGACAGCUUACUGGACCACUUCUGACGCUGAGACACGAAAGCGUGGGUAGCAAACAGG
rnacentral:rRNA from 1 species